UUUUUUUGAUUAUAUAACUUUUUUGUUAUCUUUAGGCCAAUUUGCACAGACUACAGCUGUAUCUACCUCUUGUACUACACCUGUAUCUACCUCUUGUGCUACACCUGGUAAGUUAAA
rnacentral:lncRNA from 1 species